rnacentral:rRNA from 1 species
GUGCCAGCCGCCGCGGUAAAACGUAGGACGCAAGCGUUAUCCGGAGUUACUGGGCGUAAAGGGCGGGCAGGCGGUUGCCUAAGUCUGACGUGAAAGCACCCGGCUUAACCGGGUGAGGCCGUUGGAAACUAGGAGACUGGAGCGCAGCAGAGGUGGGCGGAAUUCCGGGUGGAGUGGUGAAAUGCGUAGAGAUCCGGAGGAACACCAGAGGCGAAGGCGGCCCACUGGGCUGCAGCUGACGCUGAGCCGCGAAAGCCAGGGGAGCGAACGGGAUUAGAAACCCUAGUAGUCC